rnacentral:rRNA from 1 species
AUUGAACGCUGGCGGCAGGCCUAACACAUGCAAGUCGUACGAGUGGCGGACGGGUGAGUAAUGUCUGGGAAACUGCCUGUUGGAGGGGGCUAACUACUGGAAACGGUAGCUAAUACCGCAUACCAUCGGAUGUGCCCAGAUGGGAUUAGCAAGGAGGUGGGGUAAAGGCUCACCUAGGCGACGAUCCCUAGCUGGUCUGAGAGGAUGACCAGCCACACUGGAACUGAGACACGGUACAGACUCCUACGGGAGGCAGCAGUGGGGAAUAUUGCACAAUGGGCGCAGGCCUGAGGCAGCCAUGCCGCGUGUAUGAAGAAGGCCUUCGGGUUAUAAGGUACUUUCAGCGGGGAGGCGUUACCCGCAGAAGAAGCACCGGCUAACUCCGUGACAGCAGCGGCGGUAAUAC